rnacentral:rRNA from 1 species
AGAGUUUGAUCAUGGCUCAGGAUGAACGCUGGCGGUCUGCUUAACACAUGCAAGUCGAACGCAACCUUCGGGUUGAGUGGCGGACGGGUGAGUAACGCGUGAGAAUCUGCCUUGGGGUCGGGGACAACCACUGGAAACGGUGGCUAAUACCGGAUAAGCCUUUGGGUAAAAAAUUUAUUGCCCCAAGAGGAGCUCGCGUCUGAUUAGCUAGUUGGUGAGGUAAGAGCUCACCAAGGCAGCGAUCAGUAGCUGGUCUGAGAGGACGAUCAGCCACACUGGGACUGAGACACGGCCCAGACUCCUACGGGAGGCAGCAGUGGGGAAUUUUCCGCAAUGGGCGAAAGCCUGACGGAGCAAGACCGCGUGAGGGAGGAAGGCUCUUGGGUUGUAAACCUCUUUUCUCAGGGAAGAAGCUCUGACGGUACCUGAGGAAUCAGCCUCGGCUAACUCCGUGCCAGCAGCCGCGGUAAUACGGAGGAGGCAAGCGUUAUCCGGAAUUAUUGGGCGUAAAGCGUCCGCAGGUGGCGAUUCAAGUCUGCUGUCAAAGCACGGGGCUUAACUCCGUUAAGGCAGUGGAAACUGAAUAGC